AGAUUCUUAGUCGUUCAUAAAACUAUUUGAACGUUUGUACAGUAAAUAAAAAAGAUAGAUAAGAGAACGGUUCUUGAUAUCAGUGGUUACACAUAAACUUUACAAGCGCAUUUAAAAAAGGGGUAACCAAUAUUUUUAAUAAACAACACGCAAAUGGCAUCUUUCAAAACAACGACUGAUGGGCAGAUUUCCGGUAACAAACGAGAAGAUAGCGUUUAUGAGGAGUCGGCGAACAUUGAACAAAAUGAGCAGGUUUCCGGUAGCAAAUAUGUUUACGAGGAGCCGGCGAAUACUCAGCGCAGCGGCGGACGGAAGGAAGACAAAGAGCCGCAAGCUAAUAAUUGGCCUGUGAAAUGUUUCAUGGCUAUGAUGAUCGCAUUGGUGAUUGCCGUUGUUGUUUUGGCAACAUUGGUUGUCGUUCUAUUGUUCCUGACAAUUUCUUUAUCAAAUGAAACAAAAAAGAUCAAGGCACAACACACUGAUGUGAAUCGAGUGAACGAUGUCAACUGC